rnacentral:rRNA from 1 species
UGGGGAAUUUUGCGCAAUGGGGGAAACCCUGACGCAGCAACGCCGCGUGAGUGAUGAAGGCUUUCGGGUCGUAAAGCUCUGUCAGAGGGGAAGAAAUGUAGUGGUGCUAAUAUCGCCAUUACUUGACGGUACCCUCAAAGGAAGCACCGGCUAACUCCGUG